CACGUAGGGGGGCAAGCGUGUCCGGAUUUAUUGGGCGUAAAGAGCUCGUAGGCGGCUCAGUAAGUCGGGUGUGAAACCUCCAGGCUCCAACCUGGAGACGCCACCCGAUACUGCUGUGGCUUGAGUCCGGUAGGGGAGCGUGGAAUUCCUGGUGUAGCGGUGAAAAUGCGCAGAUAUCAGGAGGAACACCGAUGGCGAAGGCAGCACUCUGGUACAUG
rnacentral:rRNA from 1 species